UUCGGCAAUUUCUUUUGAAUUCUUAAUUUUCUUUAUCAAGUUCUUCAGGUCAUAUUGUGAACUGUUAUAAGAUCUGACAUACACUCAGCUACAUUUUCAAAGGAUUCAAGCAACAUAGAUUGACAGACUAGGAUACCUUAAAAAAUUGAAGGAUGGAGGAAUGACUCUAUACAUUAUUUGCUUAGCGUGCAGUGUGGAAACCAUCCUUACAACGGAGAAAUUUGAG
rnacentral:misc_RNA from 1 species